CACUUCUCCUGAACUAGUUAAGAUUUCUACUUAAAGGGCAUGAAUUGCUCCCAGUGGCCACCAUAUCUCCCAACAUUGAAAAUUGUCAGAUUCGUGACUAGAGGUUUCAGCUUCUCAUUUUACCCAGGCUCAAACCUGACAUCUUGUGGUGUGUCCUACCUGGCCCUCUCAGCUUCUCCCUACAUUAUACCUGACACUGUUUUCACUCAGCCAUCAGCUCAUCACUGGGAUGUCUCUACUGUGUCCUUGACUAAUGCUUUCUACACAGGGAUUAAGAUUUCAAAGCAGACAUCUUUUCCUUCAGAUUGAUCUAUUUUUCUAUUUCCUCUGCUAGGUCCUUUUACAGGAGUGGAGUCCCUCACUCCAAGAGAGGUUAGCAACUGCUCAGACAUUCAGGCCAUUUUCCUCUGCUAGCCUGUGCUUCUUUGAGUAGGUCCAAUUCAGUGCUACUAGGUAUGUAUAAUGUUUACAGACCUUACCCUAAUUUAUAGAGAUGGUAUGGGCAUUGAGAUCAUGUAACCUUGGAAAGUAUUUUAAAUUAGUUACAUAUAUUCUCACUUAUGACCUACUUGCUGUCCCGUCUGUCUGUCUCUUCUGCUUCUCUGUUUCUGUAUCUCUCUGUUAACCCAGCUUUGUCUUUGUCUCUGCAUUUGUUUCUGACUCUAUCAUGUUCUCUAUCUUUCUUCCUCUCUGCCUCUUGGCUUCUCUAUCUCCUCUCUUCUCUUUCUCUCUCUCCCUUUCUCUCUCCCUCUCCCUCUCCCUCUUUCUGUCUCUCUCUCUCUCUCUGUCUGUCUGUCUCUCUCUCUCUCUCUCUCUCUCUCUCUCUCUCUCUCUCUCUCUCUCUCUCUCUGU
rnacentral:lncRNA from 1 species